rnacentral:rRNA from 1 species
AGAUUGAACGCUGGCGGCAUGCCUAACACAUGCAAGUCGAACGGGAGUAGCAAUACUCUAGUGGCGGACGGGUGAGGAAUACGUAGGAAUUUGCCCUUAAGUGGGGGAUAACCCGGGGAAACCCGGAUUAAUACCGCAUGACCUCGAAAGAGCAAAGUGGGGGAUCGCAAGACCUCACGCUUUUGGAGAAGCCUACGUCGGAUUAGCUAGUUGGUGAGGUAAUGGCUCACCAAGGCGACGAUCCGUAACUGGUCUGAGAGGAUGAUCAGUCACACCGGAACUGAGACACGGUCCGGACUCCUACGGGAGGCAGCAGUGGGGAAUAUGGACAAUGGGCACAAGCCUGAUCCAGCAAUGCCGCGUGUGUGAAGAAGGCCUUCGGUUGUAAAGACUACGUUUAAGUUAGGGAAGUAAAAAACUACGACUACCUAACACAGUGAGUACUUGACGGUACCGACAGAAUAAGCAACCGGCUAACUCUGU